GGGUUGUGAGGUUAAGCGACCAAGCGUACACGGUGGAUGCCCUGGCAGUCAGAGGCGAUGAAGGACGUGCUAAUCUGCGAAAAGCGCCGGCGAGGUGAUAUGAACCCUUGACCCGGCGAUGUCCGAAUGGGGAAACCCAGUGUGACUCGUCACACUAUCAUUAACUGAAUCCAUAGGUUAAUGAGGCGAACCGGGGGAACUGAAACAUCUAAGUACCCCGAGGAAAAGAAAUCAACCGAGAUUCCCCCAGUAGCGGCGAGCGAACGGGGAGGAGCCCAGAGCCUGAAUCAGCAGGUGUGUUAGUGGAAGUGUCUGGAAAGGCACGCGAUACAGGGUGAGAGCCCCGUACACGAAAAUGCACCUGGUGUGAGCUCGAUGAGUAGGGCGGGACACGUGGUAUCCUGUCUGAAUAUGGGGGGACCAUCCUCCAAGGCUAAAUACUCCUGACUGACCGAUAGUGAACCAGUACCGUGAGGGAAAGGCGAAAAGAACCCCGGCGAGGGGAGUGAAAAAGAACCUGAAACCGUGUACGUACAAGCAGUGGGAGCACAGGUUUACCUGUGUGACUGCGUACCUUUUGUAUAAUGGGUCAGCGACUUAUAUUCUGUAGCAAGGUUAACCGAAUAGGGGAGCCGGAGGGAAACCGAGUCUUAAUUGGGCGUUAAGUUGCAGGGUAUAGACCCGAAACCCGGUGAUCUAGCCAUGGGCAGGUUGAAGGUUGGGUAACACUAACUGGAGGACCGAACCGACUAAUGUUGAAAAAUUAGCGGAUGACCUGUGGCUGGGGGUGAAAGGCCAAUCAAACCGGGAGAUAGCUGGUUCUCCCCGAAAGCUAUUUAGGUAGCGCCUCGUGAACUCAUCUCCGGGGGUAGAGCACUGUUUCGGCUAGGGGGCCAUCCCGGCUUACCAACCCGAUGCAAACUGCGAAUACCGGAGAAUGUUAUCACGGGAGACACACGGCGGGUGCUAACGUCCGUCGUGAAGAGGGAAACAACCCAGACCGCCAGCUAAGGUCCCAAAGUCAUGGUUAAGUGGGAAACGAUGUGGGAAGGCCCAGACAGCCAGGAUGUUGGCUUAGAAGCAGCCAUCAUUUAAAGAAAGCGUAAUAGCUCACUGGUCGAGUCGGCCUGCGCGGAAGAUGUAACGGGGCUAAACCAUGCACCGAAGCUGCGGCAGCGGCACGCAAGUGUUGUUGGGUAGGGGAGCGUUCUGUAAGCCGUUGAAGGUGGCCUGUGAGGGUUGCUGGAGGUAUCAGAAGUGCGAAUGCUGACAUAAGUAACGAUAAAGCGGGUGAAAAGCCCGCUCGCCGGAAGACCAAGGGUUCCUGUCCAACGUUAAUCGGGGCAGGGUGAGUCGACCCCUAAGGCGAGGCCGAAAGGCGUAGUCGAUGGGAAACGGGUUAAUAUUCCCGUACUUGGUGUUACUGCGAAGGGGGGACGGAGAAGGCUAUGUUGGCCGGGCGACGGUUGUCCCGGUUUAAGCGUGUAGGCUGGUUUUCCAGGCAAAUCCGGAAAAUCAAGGCUGAGGCGUGACGACGAGGCACCACGGUGCUGAAGCAACAAAUGCCCUGCUUCCAGGAAAAGCCUCUAAGCGUCAGGUAACAUCAAAUCGUACCCCAAACCGACACAGGUGGUCAGGUAGAGAAUACCAAGGCGCUUGAGAGAACUCGGGUGAAGGAACUAGGCAAAAUGGUGCCGUAACUUCGGGAGAAGGCACGCUGACAUGUAGGUGAAGCGGUUUACCCGUGGAGCUGAAGUCAGUCGAAGAUACCAGCUGGCUGCAACUGUUUAUUAAAAACACAGCACUGUGCAAACACGAAAGUGGACGUAUACGGUGUGACGCCUGCCCGGUGCCGGAAGGUUAAUUGAUGGGGUCAGCGCAAGCGAAGCUCCUGAUCGAAGCCCCGGUAAACGGCGGCCGUAACUAUAACGGUCCUAAGGUAGCGAAAUUCCUUGUCGGGUAAGUUCCGACCUGCACGAAUGGCGUAAUGAUGGCCAGGCUGUCUCCACCCGAGACUCAGUGAAAUUGAACUCGCUGUGAAGAUGCAGUGUACCCGCGGCAAGACGGAAAGACCCCGUGAACCUUUACUAUAGCUUGACACUGAACACUGGUCCUUGAUGUGCAGGAUAGGUGGGAGGCUUUGAAGCGUGGACGCCAGUCUGCGUGGAGCCGUCCUUGAAAUACCACCCUUUAAUGGCUGGUGUUCUAACGUGGGCCCCUGACCGGGGUUGCAGACAGUGUCUGGUGGGUAGUUUGACUGGGGCGGUCUCCUCCCAAAGAGUAACGGAGGAGCACGAAGGUUGGCUAAUCCUGGUCGGACAUCAGGAGGUUAGUGCAAUGGCAUAAGCCAGCUUGACUGCGAGCGUGACGGCGCGAGCAGGUGCGAAAGCAGGUCAUAGUGAUCCGGUGGUUCUGAAUGGAAGGGCCAUCGCUCAACGGAUAAAAGGUACUCCGGGGAUAACAGGCUGAUACCGCCCAAGAGUUCAUAUCGACGGCGGUGUUUGGCACCUCGAUGUCGGCUCAUCACAUCCUGGGGCUGAAGUAGGUCCCAAGGGUAUGGCUGUUCGCCAUUUAAAGUGGUACGCGAGCUGGGUUUAGAACGUCGUGAGACAGUUCGGUCCCUAUCUGCCGUGGGCGCUGGAAGAUUGAGGGGGGCUGCUCCUAGUACGAGAGGACCGGAGUGGACGCAUCACUGGUGUUCGGGUUGUCAUGCCAAUGGCACUGCCCGGUAGCUAAAUGCGGAAGAGAUAAGUGCUGAAAGCAUCUAAGCACGAAACUUGCCCCGAGAUGAAUCUUCCCUGAGACUUUAAGUCUCCUGAAGGAACGUUGAAGACGACGACGUUGAUAGGCCGGGUGUGUAAGCGCAGCGAUGCGUUGAGCUAACCGGUACUAAUGAACCGUGAGGCUUAACCUUACAACGCCGAAG
rnacentral:rRNA from 1 species